AACGAACGCUGGCGGCGUGUUUAAGACAUGCAAGUCGCACGGAGUCAUUGAUGUAGCAAUACCUUGAUGGCUUAGUGGCGCACGGGUGAGUAACACAUGAAUUACAUGCCCUGCAGAAGGGGAUAGCCCAGGGAAACUUGGAUUAAUACCCCAUGGUCUCGGGAGAGUAAAGGUGGCCGCAAGGCUGUCGCUGGCGGAUUGGUUCGCGUUCUAUCAGCUUGUUGGCGGGGUAACGGCCCACCAAGGCUACGACGGAUACCUGGUCGGAGAGGACGAUCAGGAACACUGGAACUGAGACACGGUCCAGACACCUACGGGUGGCAGCAGUCGAGAAUAAUUCACAAUGGGGGCAACCCUGAUGGUGCAACGCCGCGUGGAGGAUGAAGGUCUUCGGAUUGUAAACUCCUGUCAUCCGGGAGCAAGACCUGGCCGUGAAUAGCGGACAGGGUUGAUAGUACCGGAAGAGGAAGGGACGGCUAACUUCGUGCCAGCAGCCGCCGUAACAC
rnacentral:rRNA from 1 species